GCCAAUGUUUCUAGUCACUCUCAAGUUUGUAGUCAAUGUUUCUAGUGACCUUCAACAAUUCGUAAUAUAAAUCCCCUUGUUUAUGUCAAGUUCUUCUUUAGCCAUCCUAUAAUUUUUAAUAAUUUUAGAAUUAUACAUAUCAUUCAUGGCUCUGUUAACAUUUGUUGUUAUGCAUAAGGGGUUUUGUCUAGUUCUACUCUGUGAUGCUUAUUCCCAUUUUUUUAUUUGUUACCUUCCCCAAGUAAGUAUGUGAGAUUUAGUUAACUAACUCCAAAAUCCUAUUUGUUCAGAAUGAUGAAUAAAUUAUGGGCUCGUUUUAUCGAGUAUAGACCUUAAUCUUGUUCGAGAAUUUUCAUCAGCGUUGGAUAUCACAACUUUCAUCUUAUUUUUUAAUUGACUUUAUUGUAUUUUCUAGAUGGAUGAUGAUCAUUAUUCAGAAUAUGUUGUUUCUAGCAUUUCAAUAUCUAAUGAUUAUCUUAUGAAAAUCCUGAUAAUGGAAGGGACUCAGUUUAUUGGUGUGUUUUUGUCGGGACUUCUUGUAAAAGAAGGCCACCAGAUUUCUGCUACUUUGAAGACAUCGAUUGGUUAAUUCACUCUCUAUCAAGGUUUGUUAAGGGAACCAGACCAUAUAUGUUCCCUGUUCUGUGUUGGCUAGAACAUCUUGGGGAAGAGGUAUGCAUUAGAUGAUAUUGGUUCUGGAUCUCAUGUGCAUCUCAGUUUGUGUCAGAGUUGAACCCAUAUGAAUAGGUAGUUUGGUACUAACAGAGAAGUAUGCAUUUUUACCAGUUCUGUUAAAAUAUCUUGUCUACAUAGAAUUAUUUUUUAAGCAUGCAGUUAUAUUUGGAAAUUUGAUGGGUGUACUAUUGAUCUUGAGGAAAACCUUUCACGGUGAUGUUUCCAUCGAUGGGUGUACCAAUUUGUAAUUAUUCAGGCUAUGUGGUUUCUGCUUUUAAGACCAAUAAGCUUUAUUGAUCCUUAUUUGUUUUAUAGUUUUUAGUGAGUUAUAUGUUGAUAUCAUAUGAUUUUGAUUGUCCAUAUAAUAUUCCAUUUUAUCAUUUAUGUGAUCCUUUCUGCAUUGUUG